rnacentral:rRNA from 1 species
AUUGAACGCUGGCGGCAUGCUUUACACAUGCAAGUCGAACGGUAACAGGCCGCAAGGUGCUGACGAGUGGCGAACGGGUGAGUAAUGCAUCGGAACGUGCCCAGUCGUGGGGGAUAACUACUCGAAAGAGUAGCUAAUACCGCAUACGAUCUAUGGAUGAAAGCGGGGGACCGUAAGGCCUCGCGCGAUUGGAGCGGCCGAUGUCAGAUUAGGUAGUUGGUGGGGUAAAGGCUCACCAAGCCAACGAUCUGUAGCUGGUUUGAGAGGACGACCAGCCACACUGGGACUGAGACACGGCCCAGACUCCUACGGGAGGCAGCAGUGGGGAAUUUUGGACAAUGGGCGCAAGCCUGAUCCAGCAAUGCCGCGUGCAGGAAGAAGGCCUUC